rnacentral:rRNA from 1 species
AUUGAACGCUGGCGGCAGGCCUAACACAUGCAAGUCGAACGAGUGGCGGACGGGUGAGUAAUGUCUGGGAAACUGCCUGAUGGAGGGGGAUAACUGCUGGAAAGGGUAGCUAAUACCGCAUACCAUCAGAUGUGCCAAGGUGGGAUUAGCUUGUUGGUGGGGUAAAGGCUCACCAAGGCGAAGAUCCGUAGCUGGUCUGAGAGGAUGACCAGUCACACUGGAACUGAGACACGGUCCAGACUCCUACGGGAGGCAGCAGUGGGGAAUUUUGCACAAUGGGCGCAAGCCUGAUGCAGCCAUGCCGCGUGUAUGAAGAAGGCCUUCGGGUUGUAAAGGACUUUCAGCAGGGAAGCGGUACCCGCAGAAUAAGCACCGGCUAACUCCGUGCCAGCAGCCGCGGUAAUUC